rnacentral:rRNA from 1 species
CAGUCGCCACGGUAAAACAGAGGGUGCGAGCGUUAAUCGGAUUUACUGGGCGUAAAGCGUGCGUAGGCGGCUUCUUAAGUCGGAUGUGAAAUCCCUGAGCUUAACUUAGGAAUUGCAUUCGAUACUGGGAAGCUAGAGUAUGGGAGAGGAUGGUAGAAUUCCAGGUGUAGCGGUGAAAUGCGUAGAGAUCUGGAGGAAUACCGAUGGCGAAGGCAGCCAUCUGGCCUAAUACUGACGAUGAGGUACGAAAGCAUGGGGAGCAAACAGGAUUAGAUACCCCCGUAGUCCCUGUCUCUUAUAC